rnacentral:tRNA from 1 species
GACCGGUUAGCUCGGUCAGUUGAGUGUAGCACUAACAACGCUGAGAUCGUGGGUUUGAUUCCCGUUCGGUCC